UUGAAAAUUUGAAAUGCUACCAAUUAUAAUAAAGAAAACUUUGAUAAAAAUAAACUCGAAGAGAUCCAUGGGAAUUUCAUCUAGAUUAAGAAAAUGUUAGCCAUCACAAAUAAAAUAAUAAGAGGAAGUAACAUGAACAGUGAGUCAAAAACUGGAAAUUCCAGCCCACAUUCGAUCAUUUCGGGGCUGAAAUUGUUGUGUUGCCUCUUGAUCCUUUAGGGGUUUUAACCCAAUUUUGUUUCUCCUUUUUCGGCCUUUUUGAGGUCUCUACUGCUGCUGGUCAUUUUACCAAGCUUUUAAGUCCAAAAUACUCAAGUUUCAGCCCUUUAGGACCGCUGCAAUCUGCCUCAUUUAUUGAAUUUUUAACCCAAUAAAAAUAACUUCUCUUUCACGACUUGGAGGAGGACUCGAAGAGAGGAAAAUGCAUGAGAUGGGAGUCCAAAUUGGACUCAACGAGAGAGUGUUCAUGCACCAAGAAAUAAAGGAAUAAAAGAUUAGCAAAUUAACAUAAACAAACUCAAACAAUACAUAAUAAUGCAAUUUACAUAAGUCAAACAAUGGAAGAAACCAACAGAAACAAACAAAGACAAUUAAUUUCCAAACCUAACACAAUUCUUCCACAUUCAAACCAAGAAACAACACAAUCAUAAAUUCCAAACACAUACUUAAGCGAUAAGAAUAUCAAAAUAUUAGAUAAGGAAAAGGACAAUUGAAUUUUUACCAUAACACUUAAGAGUACCUAAAAAAAAGUUAAGGUAACCAUCUAAGAAGAGCAAGAACACUAAACAUACAUAUAUCUAUCUAUCUUAAUAUAUUUAACACAUAGAAAGUGAGAGGAAAUGUAAUUUGAAACAUGAGUUCACACAACAUGAGUUGCUGGGAAAGCUUAACAAAUUCCAACAUUUCAAAGAAAUGGAAAGUAUCUAAGAGAGGCAGUAAACAGACCACAACAAUUAAUCUAAUUGAGACUUGAAAAUAUGUCUUUUCCAGAAAACCUAACUUAUUAAUCCAAUCUAAAAUGCAAUUUUCAUGUCAAGCAUAUGCAUCUUAUAUCUUAAACUAGGAGGACAAAUAUAUAUUUGAAAGAAGCAAUUUUUAAAAUCCAAAGACUCCAACAAGCUCAAUAUAGCAUUUUUAUACCAAACAACCCAAUGGCGAAGAGUAUACAACUUAUAUUUCUAAUUAUAUGCAUUCAAAAGAGGGUAAAUGGAAGGAAGGAAACCAUCCGUAAUUAUAUCGAUCAGCAACUAUAUAACAUGGAUUUCAAAGUUGAAUAAGAAUUAAGUUAACUAGAAGCACAUAUUUCACAUAGAUUUACGAACUCGGCUAAGCGAAGGAAUCAUCUACACAUUUUCUCAAGUAUAUGGAAAUAACCAUGAAGGAAAUAUAAAAUAGGCGAGUUCAAAUAAGUAACUUGAACAAGAUCAUACUUCAUAAGAAAACAGAAAAUAAACUAGCACACCAUAUAUGAUACUCGAAAAAAAUAAAAAAACAUACCUAGCCAUCAAGACACAUAAUAGAAAUAAGCAAUGGCCAUAAUGAAACGCCCUAAACAAAUUUACUUGCUGAACAAAUAAGAGCUAAACUUGGCUAAUCUACAAGAUUAAACUUGGCUAAUCUACAAGAUUAUAGGAAAUACCCAAAACUGAAAAUGACAGGAUAUUAGGAAGAGAAAACUAACUAAGCCAAAAUUAAUUUUUGCUCGGAAUAAACAACAACAACAACAACAAAAGAACACUUCAGAUAAUGAGGAAAAUAACAAUUUAUUUUUCUAUGCUAAAGCAGCUAAUACCAAACAUGAUUACAACGAGCAAAACAUAAUUGAGAGCGCACGAAACAUUGAAAUAAAGAGAAGAUUACCUGGUUCUGGGCAGCGAACCGGACGUCAAGUUUGACGGAGACGACCACCACCUCCUUCAACUCAAACAACCACAAAAGCUACAAAAUUUGAACUAUUGAACCAAGAAUUCCCAAAACAUUUAGGGUACUCUUUGGUCUCCAAAAAAAAUCCUC
rnacentral:lncRNA from 1 species